rnacentral:rRNA from 1 species
UACAGAGAGUGCAAGCGUUAAUCGGAAUUACUGGGCGUAAAGAGCACGUAGGCGGAGUCUUAAGUUGGAUGUGAAAGCCCUGGGCUUAACCUGGGAACUGCAUCCAAAACUGGGAUUCUAGAGUAUGGUAGAGGGAAGUGGAAUUUCUGGUGUAGCGGUGAAAUGCGUAGAUAUCAGAAAGAACACCAGUGGCGAAGGCGGCUUCCUGGACCAAUACUGACGCUGAGGUGCGAAAGCGUGGGGAGCAAACAGG